rnacentral:rRNA from 1 species
AGGCCUAACACAUGCAAGUCGAACGGUAACAGGGAGCUUGCUCCGCUGACGAGUGGCGAACGGGUGAGUAAUGUAUCGGAACGUACCAUUCAGUGGGGGAUAACGUAGCGAAAGUUACGCUAAUACCGCAUAUUCUGUGCGCAGGAAAGCAGGGGAUCGCAAGACCUUGCGCUGAUUGAGCGGCCGAUAUCAGAUUAGCUAGUUGGUGAGGUAAAAGCUCACCAAGGCGACGAUCUGUAGCGGGUCUGAGAGGAUGAUCCGCCACACUGGAACUGAGACACGGUCCAGACUCCUACGGGAGGCAGCAGUGGGGAAUUUUGGACAAUGGGGGCAACCCUGAUCCAGCCAUGCCGCGUGAGUGAAGAAGGCCUUCGGGUUGUAAAGCUCUUUCAGCCGGGAAGAAAAUGCAUGGGUUAAUACCCUGUGCAGAUGACGGUACCGGAAUAAGAAGCACCGGCUAACUACGUGCCAGCAGCCGCGGUAAUACGUAGGGUGCGAGCGUUAAUCGGAAUUACUGGGCGUAAAGCGUGCGCAGGCGGUUUUGUAAGACAGGCGUGAAAUCCCCGGGCUUAACCUGGGAACUGCGUUUGUGACUGCAAGGCUAGAGUACGGCAGAGGGGGGUGGAAUUCCACGUGUAGCAGUGAAAUGCGUAGAGAUGUGGAGGAACACCAAUGGCGAAGGCAGCCCCCUGGGUCGAUACUGACGCUCAUGCACGAAAGCGUGGGUAGCAAACAGGAUUAGAUACCUGGUAGUCCACGCCCUAAACGAUGUAACUAGGUGUUGGGAGGGUAAAACGUGUUAGUACCGUACGUAACGCGAGAAGUUGACCGCCUGGGGAGUACGGCCGCAAGGUUAAAACUCAAAGGAAUUGACGGGACCCGCACAAGCGGUGGAUGAUGUGGAUUAAUUCGAUGCAACGCGAAAAACCUUACCUACCCUUGACAUGUCAGGAACUUUCCAGAGAUGGAUUGGUGCCCGAAAGGGAGCCUGAACACAGGUGCUGCAUGGCUGUCGUCAGCUCGUGUCGUGAGAUGUUGGGUUAAGUCCCGCAACGAGCGCAACCCUUGUCGUUAAUUGCCAUCAUUUAGUUGGGCACUUUAACGAGACUGCCGGUGACAAACCGGAGGAAGGUGGGGAUGACGUCAAGUCCUCAUGGCCCUUAUGGGUAGGGCUUCACACGUCAUACAAUGGUCGGUACAAAGGGUCGCCAACCCGCGAGGGGGAGCCAAUCCCAUAAAGCCGAUCGUAGUCCGGAGUGUAGGCUGCAACUCGCCUGCAUGAAGUCGGAAUCGCUAGUAAUCGUGGAUCAGCUGUCGGCGGUGGGGACGUUCCCGGUCUUGCCCACACCCCGU